rnacentral:rRNA from 1 species
UAGGGAAUCUUCGGCAAUGGGGGGAACCCUGACCGAGCAACGCCGCGUGAGUGAAGAAGGUUUUCGGAUCGUAAAGCUCUGUUGUUAAGGAAGAACGAGUGUGAGAAUGGAAAGUUCAUGCUGUGACGGUACUUAACCAGAAAGGGACGGCUAACUACGUGCCUGCAGCCGCGGUAAUACGUAGGUCCCGAGCGUUGUCCGGAUUUAUUGGGCGUAAAGCGAGCGCAGGCGGUUAGAAAAGUCUGAAGUGAAAGGCAGUGGCUCAACCAUUGUAGGCUUUGGAAACUGUUUAACUUGAGUGCAGAAGGGGAGAGUGGAAUUCCAUGUGUAGCGGUGAAAUGCGUAGAUAUAUGGAGGAACACCGGUGGCGAAAGCGGCUCUCUGGUCUGUAACUGACGCUGAGGCUCGAAAGCGUGGGGAGCGAACAGG